CGCANNCUCCCGGCCGCCAUGGCGGCCGCGGGAAUUCNNNNNCCUACGGGAGGCAGCAGUGGGGAAUUUUCCGCAAUGGGCGAAAGCCUGACGGAGCAACGCCGCGUGAGGGAUGAAGGCCUCUGGGCUGUAAACCUCUUUUAUCAAGGAAGAAGAUCUGACGGUACUUGAUGAAUAAGCCACGGCUAAUUCCGUGCCAGCAGCCGCGGUAAUACGGGAGUGGCAAGCGUUAUCCGGAAUUAUUGGGCGUAAAGCGUCCGCAGGCGGCCCUUCAAGUCUGCUGUUAAAAAGUGGAGCUUAACUCCAUCAUGGCAGUGGAAACUGUUGGGCUUGAGUGUGGUAGGGGCAGAGGGAAUUCCCGGUGUAGCGGUGAAAUGCGUAGAUAUCGGGAAGAACACCAGUGGCGAAGGCGCUCUGCUGGGCCAUCACUGACGCUCAUGGACGAAAGCCAGGGGAGCGAAAGGGAUUAGAUACCCCUGUAGUCCUGGCCGUAAACGAUGAACACUAGGUGUCGGGGGAAUCGACCCCCUCGGUGUCGUAGCCAACGCGUUAAGUGUUCCGCCUGGGGAGUACGCGCGCAAGUGUGAAACUCAAAUGAAUUGACGGAAUCACUAGUGAAUUCGCGGCCGCCUGCAGGUCGACCAUAUGGGAGAGCUCCCAACGCGUUGGAUGCAUAGCUUGAGUAUUCUAUAGUGUCACCUAAAUAGCUUGGCGUAAUCAUGGUCAUAGCUGUUUCCUGUGUGAAAUUGUUAUCCGCUCACAAUUCCACACAACAUACGAGCCGGAAGCAUAAAGUGUAAAGCCUGGGGUGCCUAAUGAGUGAGCUAACUCACAUUAAUUGCGUUGCGCUCACUGC
rnacentral:rRNA from 1 species